rnacentral:sRNA from 1 species
GCCAACCUAUCUAUCGCUGCCAAUUUAUCUAUCACUGCUAAUCUAUUGCUGCUAAUCUAUCGCUGCUAAUCUAUCGCUGCUAAUCUAUCGCUGCUAAUCUAUCGCUGCUAAUCUAUCGCUGCCAACCUAUCGCUGCUGCCAAUCUAUCUAUCACUGCUAAUCUAUUGCUGCUAAUCUAUCACUGCUAAUCUAUCGCUGCUAAUCUAUCGCUGCUAAUCUAUCGCUGCUAAUCUAUCGCUGCUAAUCUAUCGCUGCUAAUCUAUCGCUGCUAAUCUAUCGCUGCCAACCUAUCGCUGCUGCCAAUCUAUCUAUCACUGCUAAUCUAUUGCUGCUAAUCUAUCACUGCUAAUCUAUCGCUGCUAAUCUAUCGCUGCUAAUCUAUCGCUGCUAAUCUAUCGCUGCUAAUCUAUCGCUGCUAAUCUAUCGCUGCCAACCUAUCUACCGCGGCGAAUCUAUCUAUUGCUGCCAACCAACCUACCACUGCCAACCUAUCUAUCGCUGCCAAUCUAUCGCUGCCAAUCUAUCGCUGCCAACCUAUCUACUGCAGUGAAUCUAUCUAUCACUAUCAUUACUAGUUCAAAAUAGAACUAGAGCAUAAAUACACUAAACUUCUUUUGAUAGAUAAUGAUUUUUGAUAAUACUCAUAGCAUUAUAUCAUCUAUAUAGGGUAAAUCAUGGUCCCAUUUGGUCCCAUUUUAACAAAAUGGGACCAAAUGGGACCAGAAUCAGUAAUUUAUAAGAAGAACAUGAUCUGGGACU